rnacentral:rRNA from 1 species
CCUACGUGAGGCAGCAGUGAGGCAUAUUGGUCAAUGGACGAGAGUCUGAACCAGCCAAGUAGCGUGAAGGAUGACUGCCCUAUGGGUUGUAAACUUCUUUUAUAUGGGAAUAAAAUGUUCCACGUGUGGGAUGUUGUAUGUACCAUAUGAAUAAGGAUCGGCUAACUCCGUGCCAGCAGCCGCGGUAAUACGGAGGAUCCGAGCGUUAUCCGGAUUUAUUGGGUUUAAAGGGAGCGUAGAUGGGUUGUUAAGUCAGUUGUGAAAGUUUGCGGCUCAACCGUAAAAUUGCAAUUGAUACUGGCAGUCUUGAGUACAGUUGAGGUAGGCGGAAUUCGUGGUGUAGCGGUGAAAUGCUUAGAUAUCACGAAGAACCCCGAUUGCGAAGGCAGCUUACUAAACUGUGACUGACAUUGAUGCUCGAAAGUGUGGGUAUCAAACAGGAUUAGAUACCCGUGUAGUC